UACGUAGGUGGCAAGCGUUGUCCGGAUUUACUGGGCGUGAAAGGGCGUGCAGGCGGUCUGUUAAGUUCAGGGUGAAAGCUACCCUCGGGCUCAACUGGGGAGAGGUCCUUGGAUACUGGCAGACUUGAGGAGGGUAGAGGAGAGUGGAAUUCCCAGUGUAGAGGUGAAAUUCGUAGAUAUUGGGAAGAACACCGGUGGCGAAGGCGGCUCACUGGCUCGUAACUGACGCUCAUGCACGACAGCGUGGGGAUCAAACAGG
rnacentral:rRNA from 1 species